CCAAAAUUGUGGGACUACAAUAUUACAAGGCGAAAGUUUUUGUCAUACUUGUGGCCAUGCAGUUACAAAAAAAAAGAUUCCCAUGUGCAGUGUAAUAACAUCCAGUUUUAUAACAACUCUGGCACAUC